GAUGAACGCUGGCGGCGUGCUUUACACAUGCAAGUCGAACGGAAAGGCCGAAGCUUGCUUCGGUACUCGAGUGGCGAACGGGUGAGUAACACGUGGGUGAUCUGCCCUGUACUUCGGGAUAAGCUUGGGAAACUGGGUCUAAUACCGGAUAUGACGAUCUCUUGGAUGGGGUUGUGGAAAGCUUUUGCGGUAUGGGAUGAGCUCGCGGCCUAUCAGCUUGUUGGUGGGGUAAUGGCCUACCAAGGCGUCGACGGGUAGCCGGCCUGAGAGGGUGUACGGCCACAUUGGGACUGAGAUACGGCCCAGACUCCUACGGGAGGCAGCAGUGGGGAAUAUUGCACAAUGGGCGCAAGCCUGAUGCAGCGACGCCGCGUGGGGGAUGACGGCCUUCGGGUUGUAAACUCCUUUCGCAAUCGACGAAGCCUUUUGGUGACGGUAGGUUGAGAAGAAGCACCGGCUAACUACGUG
rnacentral:rRNA from 1 species